CUGGUGCCAGCAGCCGCGGUAAUUCCAGCUCCAAUAGCGUAUAUUAAAGUUGUUGCAGUUAAAAAGCUCGUAGUUGGAUCUGGGGUUCGGGUCGGCGGUUUGCCGCUUCGGCGGCUACUGCCGUGCUCGACUCUUACUAGCCGGUGCGUCUUGCGGUGCUCUUCAUCGAGUGCCGUAGGAGCCUGGCAUGUUUACUUUGAAAAAAUUAGAGUGCUCAAAGCAGGCGAUUCCGCCUGAAUAGUGUUGCAUGGAAUAAUGGAAUAGGACCUCGGUUCUAUUUUGUUGGUUUUCGGAACUUGAGGUAAUGAUUAAGAGGGACGGUCGGGGGCAUUCGUAUUUCGGUGUUAGAGGUGAAAUUCUUGGAUCGCUGAAAGACGGACAAAUGCGAAAGCAUCUGCCAAGAACGUCUCCAUUAAUCAAGAACGAAAGUCAGAGGUUCGAAGACGAUCAGACACCGUCCUAGUUCUGACCAUAAACGAUGCCAACUAGCGAUCCGCAGUGGUUGCUAUAAACGGACUCUGCGAGCAGCUUCCGGGAAACCAAAGUGUUUGGGUUCCGGGGGAAGUAUGGUUGCAAAGCUGAAACUUAAAGGAAUUGACGGAAGGGCACCACCAGGAGUGGAGCCUGCGGCUUAAUUUGACCCAACACGGGGAAACUCACCCGGUCCGGACACUGUAAGGAUUGACAGAUCGAGAGCUCUUUCUUGAUUCGGUGGAUGGUGGUGCAUGGCCGUUCUUAGUUGGUGGAGUGAUUUGUCUGGUUAAUUCCGAUAACGAACGAGACUCUAGCCUGCUAACUAGUUGCGCCGUGUUCAUACGCGGCUGUAGACUUCUUAGAGGGACAGGUGGCGUUUAGCCACACGAAAUUGAGCAAUAACAGGUCUGUGAUGCCCUUAGAUGUCCGGGGCCGCACGCGCGCUACACUGAAGGAGUCAGCGUGUGCUAUCCGGGCUCGGAAGAGUUCGGUAACCCGUUGAAACUCCUUCGUGCUUGGGAUUGUGGCUUGUAAUUAUCGCGCAUGAACGAGGAAUUCCCAGUAAGUGCAAGUCAUCAGCUUGCGCUGACUACGUCCCUGCCCUUUGUACACACCGCCCGUCGCUACUACCGAUUGAAUGGUUUAGCAAGGUACUCGGAUUGGUCUCGAUCUUGUACGAAAGUGCGGGAUCUGUGGCCGAGAAGAAGGCCAAACUUGAUCAUUUAGAGGAAGUAAA
rnacentral:rRNA from 1 species